GGUGCCAGCCGCCGCGGUAACACCAGCGCCACGAGUGGUGAUCAUGUUUAUUGGGCCUAAAGCGUUCGUAGCCUGUUUGAUAACUCUUUUGUGAAAUUGUUGAUGUUAACUUAGCAGAUUGCAAAAGAAACUGUUAAACUUGAGACCGGGAGGAGAUAGAAGUACCUUAAGGGGAAUGGUAAAAUGUAGUAAUCCUUAAGGGACUGCCAGUGGCGUAGGCGUCUAUCUAGAACGGCUCUGACGGUGAGGAACGAAAGCUAGGGGCGCAAAUCGGAUUAGAUACCCGAGUAGUCCUAGCUGUAAACUCUGCGAGCUAUGUGUUGCAUGUUCCCCGAGAACAUGCAGUGCCGUAGUGAAGACGUAAAGCUCGCCGCCUGGGGAGUACGGUCGCAAGGCUGAAACUUAAAGAAAUUGGCGGGGGCUCACUACAAGGAGUGCGGCGUGCGGUUUAAUCUAAUUACACACAGAGAAUCUCACCAAGAGCGACGGCAAGAUGAAGGUCAGAUUAAAGGUUUUACCUGAUGAGCCGAGAGGUGGUGCAUGGCCGUCGUCAGCUCGUGCUGUGAAGUGUCCAGUUAAGUCUGGCAACGAGCAAGACCUACAUUUACAAUUGCUACCGAGUCUUCGGAUGAUCGGGCACAUUGUAAGGACUGCCUUGGAAACGAGGAGGAAGGUGUAGGCAACGAUAGGUCU
rnacentral:rRNA from 1 species